ensembl:misc_RNA Metazoa_SRP Metazoan signal recognition particle RNA
GCUGGGCAUGGUGGUGCAUGCCUGUAAUCCCAGUUACUCAGGAGGCUGAGGCAGGAGAAUUGCUCGAACCCAGGAGGCAGAGGUUGCAGUGAGCUGAGAUCGUGCCACUGCACUCCCACCUGGGUGACAGAGCGAGACUCCAUCUCAA